rnacentral:rRNA from 1 species
GACGAACGCUGGCGGCGUGCUUAACACAUGCAAGUCGAACGGAAAGGCCCUGCUUUUGUGGGGUGCUCGAGUGGCGAACGGGUGAGUAACACGUGAGUAACCUGCCCUUGACUUUGGGAUAACUUCAGGAAACUGGGGCUAAUACCGGAUAGGAGCUCCUGCUGCAUGGUGGGGGUUGGAAAGUUUCGGCGGUUGGGGAUGGACUCGCGGCUUAUCAGCUUGUUGGUGGGGUAGUGGCUUACCAAGGCUUUGACGGGUAGCCGGCCUGAGAGGGUGACCGGCCACAUUGGGACUGAGAUACGACCCAGACUCCUACGGGAGGCAGCAGUGGGGAAUAUUGCACAAUGGGCGGAAGCCUGAUGCAGCAACGCCGCGUGCGGGAUGACAGCCUGCGGGUUGUAAACCGCAUUCGCCUGUGACGAAGCGUGAGUGACGGUAAUGGGUAAAGAAGCACCGGCUAACUACGUG